AGGACGUCAUAAAGGGGGAGAAUCCCGUACUUGACAUGGCUGCCCAGUGCUUUGUGAUACAACCUCAACGAGUCGAGUUGUUUGGGAAUGCAGCUCAAAAUGGGUGGUAAAUUCCAUCUAAAGCUAAAUAUUGGGGAGAGACCGAUAGCGAACAAGUACCGUGAGGGAAAGAUGAAAAGCACUUUGGAAAGAGAGUUAAACAGUACGUGAAAUUGUCAAAAGGGAAGCGCUUGAAGUUAGUUAUGCUUGCUGGGACUCAGCCUUGCUUUUGCUUGGUGCAUUUCCCAGUAUGCAGGUCAGCAUCGGUUUUGUCUGCUGGAUAAGGGUAAAAGGAACGUGGCACCCUCGGGUGUGUUAUACCCUUCUACUGGAUACAGCGGACGGGACCGAGGAACGCAGCGCGCCUCACGGCGGACCUUCGGGUACCUUCGCGCUUAGGAUGCUGGCGUAAUAGCUUUAAGCGGCCCG
rnacentral:rRNA from 1 species